UUCCAUCAAAUCUGAGAAUAACUCUCCUGCAUCAACUGGACCAGAUUCAUCUGAAGAGGCUUUGAUCUGGAGCGAAGAAAACCUGUUGGAAUCUGUUUCACAGAGAUUAUCAUUAUUCAUUAUGCACACGGUUUUCCAAGAGAUGAAUCUUCAUGAGACAAUUGCUACAUUUUUUAAGAUACAAAUGGUAGGAAAUCACAACAGAAAUUCCAGUAUAUUAUGGAACCAGCAUGUCAGGUCGUCUAUGUCUCAAUCCUAUCUGGAGAACAUAAUGCCAUCCUUCUCAUUUACCAGAAAAAUUGUUAAACCCCACGAGAAAGAAGAUGCUCACACCCACCUCACGCUAAGAUCAUCAUACUUUAUUUGUUCAGUUCCACUGGAUUUACCAUUUGGUAUGGUAUUCACUAAAGUUUUAUCUAACUUAUGAUUUAAAAUAUUGGUCAUAAACAUGAUUUUAUAAAAAUCCACAAAAUCCCCAUUCAUUUUAACCCCAAAAAGAUACCAGCCCCGGAGCUGAAACGGCUCUCAGUAGAGAACUGAGAGACAGCACUCCAACAUUGGGCUUCUAGUUCAGUAAUUCAAAAUUUCUCCCACACAUUUAUGGGAAAAAAAUAUUGGAUGAAGGGAACUCUGUGAUCAACUAAUCAAAGUCCUGGAAAAGAAGUUCCACCUUUAAUAGAUUUGAACUGAUAAGCUUUAGAAUCAACAACAACCCCUCAAUCUAUAAAGCUUUAAGUAGCUAUCUUUUCACCAAAAAAUAGAAAAAGAAGCCAAAAUCUCUAACCCUUCUCUGACUAACUUCUUACAAUAGACGCAGUAUCUUGGAGUAAUCUUUCAAAAAACCAAGCGUGGAUAUUGCUUGGGUCCAUUGGGUACUCAAUUUCGAGAAGGGGUUUGGUAUUUUAGCAAAUUCAACAAAGCCCAAAAUUUCCAACAAAAGUACACUGCAGCUUUUAGGGCAUAGCUAUCUGAACUACGGCUGAAACCCAAUAAAUUCUUCGCAAUUUUAAAUCAACAAAACACAGAGACAUUCUAGAAAAAUUGAAAUUACCCAGUACCCACAUCAUUCAUCAACCGUAUUUUCUGGGUUUGUAAAAUCCAGCUUAAAGCUAUCGAAGGAGCAAAGAUUCCAUAACAAUUCAAACCACGAUUAACCAAUAUACAAUUCAGUAGAACGGAUGCCUUGUACAUAAACAAAUUACUAUGCAAUGUUGAUUUUCCAAAUUAAGUUUGUUUAUAUGCAAUUUUUGUCACAUACUUGCAUCUCUAUGGUUGUACACUUGUAGAACAUCUAACUGCAUGUGUCAAGUUCUGGUUUUUAUGGGAAAGCACCACCUAUACUUUGGCGAUGAACUCAUAAAUUCAUAAUAUUAUUCAAGACUUUGUCUAGCUGACAUGUUUGGGACUAACUGUAACCCAGUGGUCGUUCACUACCAUAGGCUGGCCACAAAUUUUCAACUUUUCAUUCUUUCGGGCCUAUUUAUCAGUUCAUUUUCAGGCCAGAAAAUCCCUCAUUCCAUCAACUCAAUGUUUGCUCUUUACUGGGUCCAGACCCGGUCAUCUUUGUUCCUCAUGUAUGGUUUCUGUUUCUAGGUUCUCAUGAGUGCACUGAUUGCUACCUUUUUGUUUUCUUCUCUAGUUUUUUUUUUGCUCUUGCCUCCGGUCUAUCUUCUCACAUUUCUUUACUCCUUGCUUCUGAACAAUUUUAUUUUAUUUUCGAUGGUUUAUCAUUCUGUACCUUCAGACACAAUAAGAAUGUGUUUGACAGUGAUUAUAGAAAAUGUUUUUAAUAUUUCUAAUGUUUAAAAUUUUUUAUUUUUUAAGUAUUAAAAAUACUAGAAACAAUUAUGAAAAUCACUAUUAAAUACAUUCUAAGUCUCCUAGUCUCUUUACAAAAUUUGUGCAACAAUAUAUGCAUCAAUCAAAUAUCAUCCCAGAAUCAUCUCUCAGUUCAUGAUAGGAUUCAUGCGUUAGUCCAUUUAUAGAUUUAGAAUAGGCCAAUUAAGAAUGAAAUUGAAAUAAUUAUCUAAGACUUUCUAGGUAUAGUGGUAGAGUGGAAAGGAUAUCUAAUAGAUUUCAAGUAGUGGAUAAAGAUUUCUUGAAUUUAGUUGCAUUUAAAAUAUUUCUUCUCAAUAUUGAUAGAUUUUCUAAGAUGAAUCAGCCAUAUGUUUCUUUUUUCGGCUAAGCUUAUUCAGCUUUAUGAUUUUUUUUUACUAAAAUCCUGUUGACAUUUUAGGAGCAAGAAGGAGAAUCACAGAUUAUUUAUGAAAUGUAACAACCCUCUACAUGAGAUAUUGUCCACUUUAGCUUUUACGGUUUUAAAAUACAUCCACAUACUUAAGAUGGGUUCUUUACAUAUAUAGGAAUUUCUCUCCAGAUAUGGAAUAUCACAAUGAUACCAUGACAUUGUGUUCGACAAGAUUGCGAUGCCAUUUGGACAAACACCCAAUGCAUGAUUGAUUGACAUUGAUAUAAUUUAUUGCAACACACUCCUCCAUAUGGAAUGUACAAAUUGUAUGCAAAAGGGAGCAAGUCAUUUCACGAAAUGCUCAAAACCCAGGAACAAUUGUGUGCUGAUGGGGUUAAAUCCAGACAACAAACAUAUAGCAUGAGGGCUUUUGUGGUAGCAUAUAAGUAAAUGCAAGAAGAACCUGUUUAAGUUGAUUUUCUUAGUAGAUAUGCUAGCAUAGUUUUUUUUUCUUUGAUAUCCGUGGAUGUCCGGUCUAGCUUACGCGCAUCUUGACUAAUCCCACGGGACCCUGAAGUUAAUGACUAGGUAAACCUCCAAUGGCCUUGAGGGGACUCGAACUGGUGACCAUUGGGGAGCAAACCGAAGACCGGACCAAUAGAUAUGCUAGCAUAGUUGAAGCUAUUUGUGAAGAGAAUUGCUAAUUAUAUUUUCAAAAACAAUCUGGUUGAUACAUCGACCACUACACAAGAAUAUAGUACAGGAUCCAAGUGUCUCUUAUGAAGAACAUUAGAAUAUCCAUAUCUUUUAGGAUCAAGGAUCAUACAAAAUGCAAAACAUACUAUUGCCUUGCAAUUGGUGAGGCUAUUCACUUCCUGAAAUCUUUUUCUUCAAUGCUUCAAUAUCUGUGGCCAGUUCCUUUCGGCUUGACUGGGAAAAUAAUCACAAUUGUUAGCAACAUGUAGUUUGCAUUAUAAGACCAUAGAUUAUGUCAAAACAAUAUUAAAAGGAAAUUGAACACAUAAAUCCAUGAAGUAUUAAGAACAAGUAUGACUUGCAAUAUUAGGAAUUUUUUCCUUUUUUUUGGGAUAAGAAAGUAAUUAAAAUUUACUAAAGUUUAAAUAGCAUGGAAGAAGCAUUCACAGUGCCUGCCACUAUGGAUCUGUCACGAAUAAUUAGAAGAUAAGUUGCAGCAAUUUUGUAAUGAUUUGUGAAUUAUUGAAAAUAAUGCCACAAAUUGAGGUUAAACAUGCUUAAAGAAGCACACUCAUAUAACUUGGACCUCCUAAGAAGUCAGAGAUAGUUUAAUAUCAUGCUUACAAUCCAAUUGUUUCUUAGACGACAUAUUUGAUUUAGAUUAUGGAGUCACAUUCGUGGCAUAAUAUAGUCACUGGAGAUGCUAAUUUCAAUAUCAGACAUGUCAAUUCAUAGAGAGGUUUUUCUGAUUUUACCUUAAAGAGAAGGUAUCGGUAGACAAACCAUCCAGUAUAUCCAAGUCCCACCAACUCCAUGACUUUUGGAAGCUGGCAAAUGAAAGACGGAUUAAUUCAGAAGCUUUAUAUUCAUUACCCAAUUGCACAUUGUUUAUUAAAAAUGACUGAAGAACAGUAAGAUCACUUACCAAAGGGACCGAAUUGAUAGCACUAACAAUGAUGGAAGACAGCCAAACUGCAACUAUUGCCCCACCUCCAUAGAUAAAAACUGUGGAUUUGUUUUCGAGUGCAUCCCACUGUUAAAAGGUAAAGGAAAUUUAGACAGAGGCUUAUAAUAAAAUGGAAAAAUAUAUAACUGAUUGCUUGGGCAGUCAGACACGAUCCCAGUCUUGAAAAAAAAAAAAGAAAAAAAGAAAACUCGGCACUCUAUAACCUAGAGGCCAUUGUUGUCGGUCUAGGAGUGUAAAGACCUACUAGAUCCUGUAAUCAUAGAUCAGAGGACAGACACAGUAAUUAGGAUGGUGUUGCUUCCAUUUUACUGAAAAAUUGAAGGUAAUUGUGAUUCACCUUUAUGCCUAGGUUUGUUACCUGGUAAAGGCUUAACCCGAGAAGGGUUGAAACCAUGUAGUACCAAAGGGUGAUCAUUCAGAUAUCAAUGCUUAUACCCAUCAAUGUUACACAUUGUGAUAAGUCUCAUAUGUGUGUAAAGACACCAAAAUCCAAUGGCCAUAGGUAGAGUUAACUACAUGCAUUUUUCUGACUCAUUUCUCACGACCAAAUACUAAAUGCAAAGUAUGAGAGAAAAUGAUAGGUUCCCACCCUUUCCAUCAAAUCCGAGAAUAACUCUCCUGCAUCAACUGGACCAGAUUCAUCUGAAGAGGCUUUGAUCUGGAGCGAAGAAAACCUGUUGGAAUCUGUUUCACAGAGAUUAUCAUUAUUCAUUAUGCACACGGUUUUCCAAGAGAUGAAUCUUCAUGAGACAAUUCCUAAAUUUUUUAAAAUACAAAUGGUAGGAAAUCACAACAGAAAUUCCAGUAUAUUAUGGAACCAGCAUGCCAGGUCAUCCAUGUCUCAAUCCUAUCUGGAG
rnacentral:lncRNA from 1 species